ACGCUGGCGGCGUGCCUAAUACAUGCAAGUAGAACGCUGAAGAGAGGAGCUUGCUCUUCUUGGAUGAGUUGCGAACGGGUGAGUAACGCGUAGGUAACCUGCCUUGUAGCGGGGGAUAACUAUUGGAAACGAUAGCUAAUACCGCAUAACAAUGGAUGACACAUGUCAUUUAUUUGAAAGGGGCAAUUGCUCCACUACAAGAUGGACCUGCGUUGUAUUAGCUAGUAGGUGAGGUAAUGGCUCACCUAGGCGACGAUACAUAGCCGACCUGAGAGGGUGAUCGGCCACACUGGGACUGAGACACGGCCCAGACUCCUACGGGAGGCAGCAGUAGGGAAUCUUCGGCAAUGGGGGCAACCCUGACCGAGCAACGCCGCGUGAGUGAAGAAGGUUUUCGGAUCGUAAAGCUCUGUUGUAAGUCAAGAACGGGUGUGAGAGUGGAAAGUUCACACUGUGACGGUAGCUUACCAGAAAGGGACGGCUAACUACGUGCCAGCAGCCGCGGUAAUACGUAGGUCCCGAGCGUUGUCCGGAUUUAUUGGGCGUAAAGCGAGCGCAGGCGGUUUGAUAAGUCUGAAGUUAAAGGCUGUGGCUCAACCAUAGUUCGCUUUGGAAACUGUCAAACUUGAGUGCAGAAGGGGAGAGUGGAAUUCCAUGUGUAGCGGUGAAAUGCGUAGAUAUAUGGAGGAACACCGGUGGCGAAAGCGGCUCUCUGGUCUGUAACUGACGCUGAGGCUCGAAAGCGUGGGGAGCGAACAGGAUUAGAUACCCUGGUAGUCCACGCCGUAAACGAUGAGUGCUAGGUGUUGGAUCCUUUCCGGGAUUCAGUGCCGCAGCUAACGCAUUAAGCACUCCGCCUGGGGAGUACGACCGCAAGGUUGAAACUCAAAGGAAUUGACGGGGGCCCGCACAAGCGGUGGAGCAUGUGGUUUAAUUCGAAGCAACGCGAAGAACCUUACCAGGUCUUGACAUCCCGAUGCUAUUUCUAGAGAUAGAAAGUUACUUCGGUACAUCGGUGACAGGUGGUGCAUGGUUGUCGUCAGCUCGUGUCGUGAGAUGUUGGGUUAAGUCCCGCAACGAGCGCAACCCCUAUUGUUAGUUGCCAUCAUUCAGUUGGGCACUCUAGCGAGACUGCCGGUAAUAAACCGGAGGAAGGUGGGGAUGACGUCAAAUCAUCAUGCCCCUUAUGACCUGGGCUACACACGUGCUACAAUGGUUGGUACAACGAGUUGCGAGUCGGUGACGGCGAGCUAAUCUCUUAAAGCCAAUCUCAGUUCGGAUUGUAGGCUGCAACUCGCCUACAUGAAGUCGGAAUCGCUAGUAAUCGCGGAUCAGCACGCCGCGGUGAAUACGUUCCCGGGCCUUGUACACACCGCCCGUCACACCACGAGAGUUUGUAACACCCGAAGUCGGUGAGGUAACCUUUUGGAGCCAGCCGCCUAAGGUGGGACAGAUGAUUGGGGUGAAGUCG
rnacentral:rRNA from 1 species